GUCCUCAUAGUUCAACGGAUAGAACGUGAGAUUGCGGAUCUCAAAAUCUAGGUUCGAUUCCUAGUGGGGGCACAA
rnacentral:tRNA from 1 species